rnacentral:tRNA from 1 species
GCGGGUGUAGUUCAAUGGUAGAACGCCAUGGUCCCCACCUGGUCGAUGCGAGUUCGAAUCUCGUCGCCCGCU